rnacentral:rRNA from 1 species
AUUGAACGCUGGCGGCGUGCCUAACACAUGCAAGUCGAGCGGUAACAGGUGUAGCAAUACAUGCUGACGAGCGGCGAACAGGUGAGUAAUGCUUUGGAAUCUUCCCAGUAGUGGGGAAUAACCAGUCGAAAGAUUGGCUAAUACCGCAUACGUCUGUAAAGGGAAAGCGGGGGCUCGUAAGACCUCGCGCUAUUGGAUGAGCCAAAGUCGGAUUAGCUAGUUGGUGGGGUAAUGGCCUACCAAGGCGACAAUCCGUAGCUGGUCUGAGAGGACGACCAGCCACAC